UUCGUCUGACAUUCGGCAAG
rnacentral:miRNA from 1 species